rnacentral:lncRNA from 1 species
AACGGGGGAAUACAGGUGUCGUGCGCAAUCCUUUCAUUUUCGCAGACAAUACGCAACGUUUCGACUGUAAUUUUCCGUUUUUCCUGUAGGUACAUAUUUUCCUUUUUUCAGUAUCACCGCGUGAAGCGAAUGAAGACUUCGUCGAACAGAUAUCAUUUUUAAAAAAUCCUGGAAAAAACCUGGAAAGUACUUUUUCCCCUCCAAUUUACAAUAUCACUCAUUUGUAGGUACUCUGCCAUUUUUUUCAACGUGACCUUCACUAGUCCUCUAGCGUCUAUUUUCAUCAGCCGAGCAAAAUUUUUCGUGAGCCUCUCAGUCAGCAUGGAGAUGUCUAGUAAGGCAGUGAAGCUGUUGCUCUGUUUGGUCCUUUGCCUAGCGGUUAUAGAUGAAAUUCGGAGCACCCGGUCACCCCGUCGGAGGUCAGAAUCGCCCCCGAGCUCCGGUUCUCCCGGUCGGCUAACCCGGAUUACGACUGGUCUUUCGGCAUUUGUUCGCUCUUUCUCAACUUCCUCGUGGCGGAGAGGCAGUGAUAGAGCAGAGUCUUCGCGGAGAGGCAGUGAUAGAGCAGAGUCUUCGCGGAGAGGCAAUGAUAGAGCAGAGUCUUCGCGGAGAGGUGAUGAUGGAGCAGGGCCUUCGAGGACUAGAGGCCAUCGCAGUAGAAGUCCUUCCCCACCACCGGGAUUCUCUCGUACAUUGGCACGUCCUAUUACACCGGCUCAACCCCCUCAAACACCGGCAAACCCUCCUCCAACACCGUCAAACCGUCCUUCGCUACCACCCGCAUUCUUCGACCCUUCACUACCGGCGUUCCAUCCUCCACCACCGGGUUACCGUCCUCCGCUACCACCGGCAUACCCUCCUCCAACAUUGGUAAACCGUCCUCCAACAUCGGCAAGCCGUCCUCCGCUACCACCACGGGCAAACCCUCCGCCACAGGGGAAUCUUCCAGCGUUUUUGCGCAGCACGAUCACGGCUCAAAACGAUCAUCACCUUAGACUGCUCGCGCAGCUCGAACGAGAUCACAUUUACGAAGGAGGCCUAUUUAUGACGGUGGAAGAUUUUCGAGCGAAAAAGGACAGUAUUAUCCGCAGAUUGGACGACCCGGAAAUGUGCAACCCAGCGGAUAUGAAUAUUGGCGGCCGUAAAUGUCGAGCUGCGUUCACAGAAUUCAGGGAAAUCUUGAGAUUGUGGCGCGGCCCGUGCAAAGAUGCGUUUCUCGGCUGGUGCCAAAACUGGGGAGAGCCCGACGGAUGGAAGUGCUCUUUAUUCAUGAAGGACCCGAACGCCAACCAGCAGAGGGAUGCUGUCCAGGGAUAUUCCUUCAAAAUGGAGGAUUGCGUCAACAUGUUGAAACCGGAUGACUAUGCAAGAGACUUAGAGAACGCCUUUGGCCCCCCUGCAAUUGACUGA